UACGUAGGGUGCAGGCGUUAAUCGGAAUUACUGGGCGUAAAGCGUGCGCGGGCGGUUUCUUAAGUCAGAUGUGAAAGCCCCGGGCUUAACCUGGGAACUGCGUUUGAAACUGGGAGACUUGAGUGUGGCAGAGGGGGGUGGAAUUCCACGUGUAGCAGUGAAAUGCGUAGAUAUGUGGAGGAACACCGAUGGCGAAGGCAGCCCCCUGGGUUAACACUGACGCUCAGGCACGAAAGCGUGGGGAGCAAACAGG
rnacentral:rRNA from 1 species